rnacentral:rRNA from 1 species
AUUGAACGCUGGCGGAAUGCUUUACACAUGCAAGUCGAACGGCAGCACGGGUGCUUGCACCUGGUGGCGAGUGGCGAACGGGUGAGUAACAUAUCGGAACGUACCCAGUAAUGGGGGAUAACUAACCGAAAGGUUAGCUAAUACCGCAUACGCCAUGAGGGGGAACGCGGGGGAUCGAAAGACCUCGCGUUAUUGGAGCGGCCGAUAUCUGAUUAGCUAGUUGGUGAGGUAAAGGCGCACCAAGGCGACGAUCAGUAGCAGGUCUGAGAGGAUGAUCUGCCACACUGGAACUGAGACACGGUCCAGACUCCUACGGGAGGCAGCAGUGGGGAAUUUUGGACAAUGGGGGAAACCCUGAUCCAGCCAUUCCGCGUGAGUGAAGAAGGCCUUCGGGUUGUAAAGCUCUUUCGGCAGGGAAGAAACGGUUCUGGAUAAUACCCGGAGCUAAUGACGGUACCUGAAGAAGAAGCACCGGCUAGCUACGUGCCAGCCGCCGCAGUAA